GGAGAGGUGGCUGAGCGGUUGAAGGCGCACGAUUGGAAUUCGUGUGGAGGAGUAAUCCUCUCGGGGGUUCGAAUCCCCCCCUCUCCG
rnacentral:tRNA from 1 species